rnacentral:rRNA from 1 species
UACGAAGGUCCCAAGCGUUGUUCGGAAUUACUGGGCGUAAAGGGUUUGUAGGUGGCUUGCUAAGUCAGACGUGAAAUCCCUCAGCUUAACUGGGGAACUGCGUCUGAGACUGGCAGGCUUGAGUGCAGGAGAGGAACGCGGAAUUCCAGGUGUAGCGGUGAAAUGCGUAGAUAUCUGGAGGAACACCGGUGGCGAAGGCGGCGUUCUGGACUGUAACUGACACUGAUGAACGAAAGCCAGGGGAGCAAACGGG